rnacentral:rRNA from 1 species
UACGUAGGGUGCAAGCGUUGUCCGGAAUUAUUGGGCGUAAAGAGCUCGUAGGCGGUCUGUCGCGUCGGCUGUGAAAACUCGGGGCUCAACCCCGAGCCUGCAGUCGAUACGGGCAGACUAGAGUGCGGUAGGGGAGACUGGAAUUCCUGGCGUAGCGGUGAAAUGCGCAGAUAUCAGGAGGAACACCGGUGGCGAAGGCGGGUCUCUGGGCCGAUACUGACGCUGAGGAGCGAAAGCAUGGGUAGCGAACAGG